UGAUUGGCUCUGGACUUAGGCAGUAGGAGGAGACUUCCACAAUGGAUGGGACUGCUGGGGACAAAUGUUUACUAAUGCUGUCUGGCUGUGCAGGGAGGGGAAGCAGAGAGGAAAAGACCACAACACACAACAAGAAAUCCUGCAGGUACUUGGCUCUCGGGUUGGGCUAGAUCUCUUGGCUGUACUUCCUCAGUGAUAAUUUCACAUUUCGACACGUUAGCUCAGUGAAAAAAAACAACUAAUGAUUUGCUUUCAAGGACAUUGAGGACCUCAACAUGUAGCUACUUAUGAAGAGACUGGCAUAAGACAUCUCAGGACAACAUCCCAGAAACACUGAGCACCAAUGUCAGAGGAGCACUGUGACAGGAGCACAGGUCACGUGACAUAUCAGGCAUAGCAGGAAGUAAUCGCUGAAUUCUUAUCGUACCACUCUGUACAGUCAGCUGUACAGUUUUACAUUUCAGUCAUUUAGCAGACGCUCUUAGGGUUAAGCGCCUUGCCCAGAGGCACAUUGACCGAUUUUUCAACGACUCGACAGGCCCAACGCUCUUAACCACAAGGCUGCCUGCCACACAGUUCUGACCCCACUGUUUCCUACCACGCGUUCGUGAUCAGAUGCACCAUACCCACACUCCGUCACACUCCAUACCCUCUCACCCACCUAGGAGCCCUUCCAUAGCCUGGGUAGACUCAUCACCAAGGGCACCAUUGGACACUGCACCCUUCAGAAAUGACCGGUACCCAGCUCAUGAACGAUCCCACCACAAACUCUCCGUUCAGCUCUCCCAGCUCCAACUCCAUUCAGCUCCAUUCAGCUGCCAUGACAUCCCCAGUUCCCCCUUUUUCCCGGGCCACCUCAGUCCCCUCGCCUCAACUGCCUCCGGCCCUGUGGCCCCCACUGGACUUUGCCUUAGGAGCGUUGUCGUGCUGCGGGGCCUGUGUGUUCACUAACCCCCUGGAGGUGGUAAAGACACGGCUGCAGCUGCAGGGAGAGCUGCGGGCGCGGGGGUCCUACCGGCAGCACUACCGCGGGGUGCUGCAGGCCCUGUGGGUGGUGGGGAGGACGGACGGGCUCCGCGGGCUGCAGAAGGGGCUCUCGGCUGGGCUGAUGUACCAGGGUCUGAUGAACGGCGUGAGGCUGGGCUUCUACUCCUACUGUGACACCGUGGGGGUCACUGCAGCCCCUGGAGGGAGUCUGAUGUCAGGGGCCGUGGCCGGGGCUCUGGGGGCCUUCAUCGCCUCUCCUGCCUAUCUGGUGAAGACACAUCUGCAGGCCCAGACAGUCGAGGCCAUCGCAGUGGGUCACCAGCACAACCAUCAGGGUGUGUCGAGUGCCUUCGCCAAUAUCUACCGGCGGGAGGGGGUGGUGGGGCUGUGGAGGGGUGUGAACGGAGCUGUGCCUCGAGUGAUGGUGGGAUCAGCCGCCCAACUGGCCACCUUCAGCUCCGCCAAGGAAUGGGUGGCACGCCUACAGUGGUACAGUCCAAACAGCUGGCUGGUUGCCUUGACAGCUGCCUGUAUCAGUGGAGUCGCCGUGACGAUCACCAUGACGCCGUUUGACGUCAUCAGCACACGCCUCUACAACCAGCCAGUGGAUGAGCGUCAUAGGGGUCGUCUGUACCUGGGCUUCUCAGACUGUCUGGUGAAGGUGUGCCGGACAGAGGGUCUUCUGGGGCUGUAUAAAGGUCUAGUUGGUGCAUGUGUAAUCUCAGCGCUCCAUAAUCUUAUGAGAGUUCAGUUAUUCAAUCAAGCAUCCAGGAUGUCCUCCCAGGCAGCACCCGGCUGAUGCUGGUCCGGUGUUGGUUCUCAGGGGCUGUCCAGGGGCUGUGCUCUGAGCUGCAGUCUCCACUUUCUCCAAGAGGGGGCUCUACACUGCUGUCUCAGCCUCCUGGCCUCCGUUGGCUGCUGACGGGUCACUGCCAACUUCUCUGGUGCCAUGUCUCUAGGCUCUACACCCGUCACAGCUUUGAAUGCUACUUUUCGUUCUGCAUCACCCUCCUGACCUCCGGCCGCUCUCCUUGCUGUGGAGAGCCGUUGUCCUGGCCUUCGGCCCGGUCUCGCCACAGUGCACCACCACGUCCAGUCAGAGGGGAGUCUCUGAAGUUCUGGGCGCCGCUGAACAUGUGCUACAUCCUGUUGGCGGUCUAAGUCCAAGGGGAUGGAUCAAUCAGAACUUGAUUUCCAUUCAAUCUUAGCAGGCAAAGAAUGAGUUGAAUCAGUCAACUGAGAGCAGUAGCACCAAAAAUAGAAUCGCCUCUUAGAAACGUAAAGAUCGGGGUCUUGUUCAGUACAUUUACAUUUACAUUUAAGUCAUUUAGCAGACGCUCUUAUCCAGAGCGACUUACAAAUUGGAGGGCAGAAAACAUUUAAAAACUGAGUGAAAUGACGGGAAGUACGACCUCAAUUUGGCCAAUAAGAACACAGAUUUUCAUUUUCAGUCAAUGUUUUGCUCCAGUGUACACUACUGAACAUGACCCUAGUAGCGUCACAUUUGUUAAUUGAACUUCUCUAUUGUCCUCCACAGAGGAGCAGCACUGCUGCCCGGGUAGUGAGGCCCUACUGCACACAGUGGCCCUGUGUAUGGGGACCCUGCUGGUGCUCAUGCUGACGGUAGGCCGCUAGACUGACAUGCUCCUCAUCCUCGUCACCUUCCUGGGGGGAGGCUGUCUGCCUGCUGCCCUCUCAGGUACUCCCUAAGUUCUGCCCCAGGAGGGAGCAGAAGACAUUCACAAGCAGAUCUGUCUGGCAUUCCAGAAGCCUGUCAUCAGACAGCGACACACAGAAAGACUAUCAGGCUGCAGAAUACCACAACACAGACCAGUUACUGUUUCACUCUACCUCAGACAAAAUACACUUUUACCUCAAAUACAGCCAUCUACUGGCCUGUCUCACUCAGUGAUACUGUUGAAAUCCAAUACUGUCACCGUUUACAUAGACAUGUUAAGCUUUGAUGUGGCGCAGCGGUCUGAAGCACUGCAUUUCAGUGCCAGAGGCGUCACUACAGACACCCUGGUUCGAUUCCAGGCUGUAUCACAACC